ensembl:lncRNA
UCUUCAAAAUCCAGUGUGAAUUUUCUAUUUAUAGAUCUCAAUUCAGACUAAUCACAUUUCAAGUGCUCAAUAGCCACUGGUGGCUAAAGGUACGGUAUUGGACAACACACAUCGAGAGUCUAAUCCCCUUCUAUCUCCAGUAUAAUCAACUUAAAAUGUACCAAGUGUAUAAAAGGCGACCCAAAAUUAAGUAGUGCUCUGUUAAAAUGCAAGUGAAAGAUUAAAUGUCAAAAGUGUUUGGACCUUUUCUAAUGACUAAAAGGGGAAAUAUUGUUAUUUAGGAAUGCCUUUGCAAAUCUUGACAUUUUUCCAUUUGCUCACUAAGUCUUUCUGAGCACUAGGUUAUUUUGUUCUUUUUCCCCAUCUGAGUUAUUUUGUCAUUCAAUAUUUAUCUGCUGACAACUGUGUGCAAAACAUUAUAGUAGAUGGGCCAGGCGUGGUGGCUCACGCCUGUAAUCCCAGCACUUUGGGAGCCUGAGGCGGGCGGAUCACGAGGUCAGGAGAUGGAGACCAUCCUGGCUAACAUGGUGAAACCCCAUCUCUACUAAAAAUACAAAAAAUUAGCAAGGCAUGGUGGAAUAGGCUCCCAAAGGUAGAAAUCCAGGUGAUAGCAACCAGUUCAGAGGCCCUGGGAAUAAACAGCGUCCAAGCAGUGCAGAUAAAGGCAGUACAAUCUACAGUAUCAUUUGCUUGGCUUACAAGUAGCGUGAAGGAUGACCUCGUAGCAUGUGAUAUUCCAGAACAGCAUGAAGGUCAUAUGGAAGUGGAGACGCAUACCCACCACCGUCUCAAUCUUGAGGUUGAGAGAACUGAAUAUCCAAAGGAAAGAGGGUGCAGAAAAGUCAGCAAAAACAAAACACAGUAGAAGACAUACCCAUUGCUGAUGCCCAAGCACAAGUCCAGCAGAAGGUGGUAGGAGACCUUGUGCAGGAGUAUUCCCAAGGGCAAAUGUUAACCAGACUGGAACCCAAAGGGCCUCGGGAUCUCUACUGGCUCCCUUAGUGGGCGACGUCUGGCUCUACGGACUCCUUCACGCAACAGGUAGUAUUGCAGUGGAUUUGGCCACAGAUCCUCUUUAAUAAUCUCAGCAAUUUUGUCGGACUCUGGAAGGCUGUGGUCUGAAAACCAGGUGAAGAAGCUGCAGAUGAGGUCUUGGUUUCUGCGAAUGAAGGACUGGGGUUCAUGCCCCCUGCGCCAUAUAAUUGGAGUAGAAAGGGACACCACCCGGCCGGAGGAUCUUACCUCAUAUUCCUUGACAAUCAGCUUGUUUCUGAAGUAGGGGUUUCUUCUAAAGAAGAACUUGAACUUGCAGCCGGUUCUAGGGUGUCUGAGUUCCUUCACCUCUAAAUUGGUUAUGUACCUUAACAUCUCUGCAUCUUGGCCCCUAAUCAUGGCGGACAACUGGGGAUGGUUUCGAAAAGCCGUCAUCCAGAAGCCCGGGAUAUUCUGAAUGAUGUAGUUCCUCCGCUCCAGGUAGUGUCGACGCAUCCGCCCAAACUUGUGCUCCAGCUGUUGGAAGGCCCUGUCGGCCUGAGCAUUCACAGUGUCCAGUUCCAGCUGGAUGGCCUCCAGAGGGUCCAUGCGGAGAGCCUCAUGCAGAGGCCAGGGCCCUUCCUCCUCCCUCGCCUCCUCCUCCACUCUAUCUUCCUCCGCCACUUCUAUUUCUUCACCUUCCGGCAGCUGCUCCUCUACCUCCAUCUGCUCCUCCACUACCUCCUUCUCCGCCAGGCCUUCCUUCACCACCACCUCAGCGCUCUCCCCCUCAGCCACGGCUGCUGAGACAGUGGCGCACUUUCCUGUCUUCACCUCCUCGGUGUCGUUCUCGGCCCCCGCCCCCGCCGGCAGCUCAGACGCGGAUCUCUCGGCGCCAUAGAUUUCUAGGGCCUUCUCUCCACCCUGAACGCCCUUUUUCAAGCUGCGGUCCACUGCCACCACCACCACAGAAGCGGCUGCCAGGCCCUCAGCGGGAGGCUGGCCCUCUUCCUGCCCGGCUUUGAUCGCCACAUGACCGCGACCCCCAAUAACUCGGAUCUGGGGAGUACUGCCACGGCCCGCGGGAUCCUGAGGUACGCCCCCCUCCUCUGAAGGCUGUGGAGGCGGGAGCGCGAUGGUCUCCGAGCCUCCCUCACCCGGCUCCGCCAUCACCUGUGUCGUCUCGCUUUGGUCGCGGAGCUUCAGGCACUGGUGUGCGUCCGGGUCGCUCGGGACGUGGUCAGAAAUAAUGAUGCUGUGGGUUUGGAGGGGAGGGGUCCUCUCGACCCCAUCCACGCCGCUCAUGUUGGUAACAGUCGGACCAACCGCAGGUGAACGCCCGUUUUCCUCAGAGAAGCCGAGCUCUGAGCUAACCGCCGCUCGCACCGCCCACCCGCCAGUCUC